CAGCCGCCACGGUAAAACGGAGGGGGCUAGCGUUGUUCGGAAUUACUGGGCGUAAAGCGCACGUAGGCGGCUUGGUAAGUUAGAGGUGAAAGCCUGGAGCUCAACUCCAGAAUUGCCUUUAAGACUGCCGAGCUAGCAGGUGAGAGAGGUAAGUGGAAUUCCGAGUGUAGAGGUGAAAUUCGUAGAUAUUCGGAAGAACACCAGUGGCGAAGGCGGCUUACUGGCUCAUACUGGACGCUGAGGUGCGAAAGCGUGGGGAGCAAACAGGAUUAGAUACCCGGGUAGUCCCUGUCUCUUAUAC
rnacentral:rRNA from 1 species